AAAGAACCUAAAUAUCUGCUGGGAGUGCAUACAAUUAAUCAAUUUUCUCUUUUGUGUUGUUUUUCACACAGAGCGAUGAGGCAAGAGAGAAGUUUUUAAAAAUAGAAAAAUGUGAUUGCAUAAACGUCGUUGUUGACAGGAGGACUCAGUGGAUUCAGAUAUAACUGUAGGUGCUGCCUGUAUGAAAGAGCUGAGCCACACCAUCCACUAAACUGUCUAGAGCAGCAGUUGGCUUGCUUGGAAGUUGCUUCCAGGACUGUAUUGUAAGUUGUUACAGCUGAGUUGCCAGAACAUUGGCCUACAGAACUUUGGAGGGUCACUUAAUGGAUUGCUGCAGCCUCUUAAUUUCUCCAUUGAUCCUCUUCCCUGCAUCGUGAGAACAUUUUAGCCAGCACAGAACCUAGAAAAGUUACAUGACUCUGUACCUUGUGCACCAGUGUGUGGAGCAUCUCCUGUCUCGGGAACCUUCACGACCUCCAAUGGCAUCCUGACCUGGGCAUCGUGCUCACAACUGCCAAAAAGCACUUUCCUCAGAUCUAGGGGAAAUCUUCUUUGCCGAGAAAUAAUCCAGUUACUCCUGCUGCCCCAAUACCCCCCUCUUGAGGAUGCAUAAAGCCAUUGACCACUGCCAACACUGCGUCAGUCCCUCAGUGUGAUCGGGUGCUCCUCAGCACCAUUAGUGCCUCUGUACCUGAAGCAGACUGCACCCCCAGCAUGGGUGGCUGGGGACAGCUUUUGAUAAGUGUUUGCUGCAGAUAUAUCUGUUGACUAAAUAUAUUUUUUAUUUA
rnacentral:lncRNA from 1 species